CUAAGCGGGAAACUUGCCUCAAGAUGAGAUCUCACUGGGACCUUGAGUCCCCUGACGGGCCGUCGAAGACUACGACGUUGAUAGGCAGGGUGUGUAAGCGCUGUGAGGCGUUGAGCUAACCUGUACUACUUGCCCGUGAGGCUUGACCAUAUAACACCCAAGCAAUU
rnacentral:rRNA from 1 species